ACUGCCCGGGCCCCGCCCCCCGCCUCGCCCGUGUGUGUCCGCAUCCGCGUGUGUGUGAGGAGACUGUCCGGGCCCCACCCGUGUGUGUGUGUGUGUGUGAAAGUGUGAGCGUGAUGAGACUGCCCAGGCUCCACUCCCGCCUGUGUGUGUGUGUGUGUGUGUGUGUGUGUGAGAGAGAGUGUGAGUGUGAGGAGACUGCCCAGGUCCCGCCUGUGUGUGUGUGUGUGAGAGAGAGUGUGAGUGUGAGGAGACUGCCCAGGUCGCGCCCGUGUGUGUGUGUGUGAGAGAGAGUGUGAGUGUGAGGAGACUGCCCAGGUCGCGCCCGUGUGUGUGUGUGUGUGUGUGUGAGAGAGAGUGUGAGUGUGAGGAGACUGCCCAGGUCCCGCCUGUGUGUGUGUGUGUGUGUGUGUGUGUGUGUGUGUGUGUGAGAGAGAGUGUGAGUGUGAGGAGACUGCCCAGGUCCCCGCCUGCGUGUGUGUGUGUGUGUGUGUGUGUGGCUGCCCUGGGUUCAGCAGUACCAUGUACAGCUCUCCCUGUCAACUGCUGCGUGGCUGUGGCUGCCCCGGGCUGCAGUGGCCCCGUGUACAGUUGCCCUCGGCGCAACGGCUUCCUGUGCAGCUGCCCUGUGUGCAGCGCCCCCACGUACGACUGCCCUGGGUGCAGCUGCCCGGGGUAUGGCAGCCCCACAUGCAGCCGCCUCGAGCAGAUCUGCUCCUUGUGACCUGCCCCAGCUGAAGCUGGCCGCCUCGGACGUAGCGAGCUUUUGCUGCGUCUCGUUGUUGGCCCUUGGUGCCUUGGAGGACGACGAUGUCUGCCGUGCGUCCUCGAUGGGUCUGGAGGUGAUUCAAGAGUCUAAUCUCUGAGCCACAGAUUCAUCCGCCAAGGUUGCAGGUCUUCGCUGGGGAGAGUAGGUCGCAGGCUAGGACGCCUCUCCUUGUCCUUCCUCUGCGCUCUCUUCUCCGCUUCGAGGGCAAGAAGCUUUAUUUGGAAACAGACUGUCACUUGGUCGGGGUUGUGGAGCUGCCAGCCAGCCAGCCAGCUCGAUCGAUCGAUAGUUACAUUGUCCUCGACUGUGGAACAUCCGUACGCUGAUGAUUGUGCUGUUGUUGCACAUAUGGAGGAGGACCUACAAGCAGCCCUUAAGUGCGUCUCUCAAGUAUAUCAGUGCCUGGGACUAACCGUUAACGUUGGAAAAACAAAAGUGCUUCACCAGCUUGCUCUAGGCCAGUCAACUCCCCCAGCAAAGAUCCUCAUUGAUGGACAGGAACUGGAGAAUGUUGAACACUUUGUAUACCACGGCAGCCAUCUCUCAAAGAAGGCCAACGUUGACGAGGAGGAUCUGAUGUGCCAGCUCUGCCUUUGGAAGAUGAGUCAUCAUGUGCUCAAUGAUCAUGACAUCAGGAUUCAAACAAGGCCUACUAUAUAAGCCUGGGGUAAUCCCAACUCUUCUCUACAGCUUUGAAGCAUGGGUGACCUACAGGGACCACCUGAAAAGCCUGGAACACCAUCAUCAAUGUUACCUCUGGAUGAUCCUUGCCAUGGAGUGAGAGGAUCGUCACACAAAUGCCAGAGUCCUCACCGAUGCAAACACUACCAGUAUGAAUGCGUUGAUUAUUCAACAUCAGCAGUCGUGGACAGAGCGCUGUGUGCACAUGCCUGAUGUACGUUUACCAAAACAGGUGCUAUCCUCCCAACUCAAUCAAGGACAAAGGACACAUGGGGGCCAGAGGAAACGUUUUAAGGACACCCUCAAGGCAUCCGUUAACAAGUAGGGUAUUGACAUAAUAAAUUGAGAAAAACUAGCCUGGGACAGGGCUACAAGGCAAUGCCUUGUGAGAGAAGGUACAUCUUACUUUGAGGAAAACCGUCUUGCCUUGGAGACAGAAAAACAACAGAAAUGGAAGGAAAGGAAACAAGAUCGAGAAAUCUGUGGUUCAGCCCUCCCUUUAACCACCACCUGUGGUACUUGCCAGAGAGUCUGUGGCUCUGGGAUUGGCCUUAGCCAUCAACGGACUCAUUUACAACCCUUUCCCUGACCCAUGGGAGUGAACAUCUUCAACCACGAGGGAUCACUGCUACCAAGGAAAGGACUGAGCAAACCCUGCCUACUUUGGUCCCCACAUCCCCCCACCCUCCCUCACACCCCACAAAUGCCACCCACUCACACUCUGCCCCCACAAUCCCCCACAUAUACACCACCCCAACAUACCCUAUUGCCCCCCCACACAUAGCCACAACCCCUUACAAACUCCCACACUCCUCCCCAUCCCAGCAUACACAUACCCCCCCCAGACCCCCAUACACACCCCCACCCCCCACCAUACACACGCAUACCCACACCCCUCACACCCCACCAUACACCUUCACACAGACCCCCAAACACACCCACACCCCCCACACCACACCAUACACACACCUACCCACACCCCUCACACCCUACCAUACACCCCCCACACCCCACCAUACACCCCCCCACAAAGCCCACCAUACACACCCACACACCCCCACUCCAGCAUGCACCCCCCACACAGACCCCUAUACACCCCCAUACCCCACCAUACACACACCCCUCACACCCCACCAUACACCCCCCACCCCAGCCUACACCCCCUACCCCCAGCCAUACCCCCACACAUAAUAUAUGACUAAGAAUUCAUUUUUGAGUUGUUAUGCAAUCACCUUAUAUACAGUACACAAACACAAAUCAUGACAAAAAUAUUUUUUGUAAAUAAAAUAUGUUCUAGUAGGUGUUUGA